GAUGAACGCUGGCGGCGUGCUUAACACAUGCAAGUCGAACGGAAAGGCCCAAGCUUGCUUGGGUGCUCGAGUGGCGAACGGGUGAGUAACAAGUGGGUGAUCUGCCCUUCACUUCGGGAUAAGUCCAGGAAACUGGGGCUAAUACCGGAUAGGACGAUGUUCUGCAUGCUGUUGUGGAAAGAGUUUUCGGUGUUGGAUGAGCGCGCGGCCUAUCAGCGCGUGGGUGUGGUGUUGGGCGAUCAAGAAGUCGACGGGUAUACGGCGUGAGAGGGUGUACGGCGACAUUGGGGCUGAGAUACGGCGCAGACUCCUACGGGGGGCAGCAGUGGGGAAUAUUGCACAAUGGGCGCAAGCCUGAUGCAGCGACGCCGCGUGGGGGAUGACGGCCUUCGGGUUGUAGAAUCCUGUCGCUAGGGACGAAGAGUUUUUGUGACGGUAACUGGAGAAGAAAGCCCGGCUAACUACGUG
rnacentral:rRNA from 1 species